GACGAACGCUGGCGGCGUGCUUAACACAUGCAAGUCGAACGGAAAGGCCCUGCUUUUGUGGGGUGCUCGAGUGGCGAACGGGUGAGUAACACGUGAGUAACCUGCCCUUGACUUUGGGAUAACUUCAGGAAACUGGGGCUAAUACCGGAUAGGAGCUCCUGCUGCAUGGUGGGGGUUGGAAAGUUUCGGCGGUUGGGGAUGGACUCGCGGCUUAUCAGCUUGUUGGUGGGGUAGUGGCUUACCAAGGCUUUGACGGGUAGCCGGCCUGAGAGGGUGACCGGCAAAAUGGGGAAGGAGAAACGGCCAAACCUCAGAGGGGAGGAAGAAGGGGGGAAUGUGGAAAAAGGGGCGGAGGCCGGAUGCAGCAACGCCGGGGGGGGGAGGAGGGCCUGCGGGUUGUAAACCGCUUACGCCGGUGAAGAGGGGGGAGGGAGGGAAGGGGGUAAAGAAAAACGGAAAAACAACGUG
rnacentral:rRNA from 1 species